CCACCACGGCGUGUUCUGGCACUGCAUUGGGUACGGGACAGGGUACGGGUAAGGCACGGCCUUGUAUAUUGGUUUCGGCGGAUCAGGCUUCUUCUCAGGUUCGCACUUGCAGCAGCAUUUGCAUGGUUUGGGAACAGGUUUCUUCUCAGGCUCGCACUUGCAGCUGCAUUUGCAUGGUUUGGGUUCAGGUUUCUUCUCGGGCUCGCAUUUGCAGCUGCAUUUGCAUGGUUUGGGUUCAGGCUUCUUCUCAGGUUCGCAUUUGCAGCAGCAUUUGCAUGGUCUGGGAUCAGGUUUCUUCUCAGGUUCGGCUGGUUUUUUUGGCGGCCAUUCGGGGACGAUGAUGAUCUCCGUGACGACCUUGCAGGCCUUGGAGCAGAUCUUCUUGCGGAGCUUCUCGGCGUCGAACUUGCCGCGGACGAUCACCUUGUUGUUCUUGUCCUCGUACUCGAUCUUCUCGAUGCAGUAAUCCUCUGCGUUACACGUACGCAUAAGAAAAAUUUCCUAAUUUGUUUACGCGAAUAAUGUAUGAGCACCAUGCAAAACUUGAAUACGUAGUUAAUUUCCCGGCUUUGCUUCAAGAUACCAUUCCCAAUUUAUUUAUUUU
rnacentral:lncRNA from 1 species